UACGUAGGGUGCAAGCGUUGUCCGGAAUUAUUGGGCGUAAAGAGCUCGUAGGCGGUUCGUCGCGUCGGCUGUGAAAUCCCGAGGCUCAACCUCGGGUCUGCAGUCGAUACGGGCGGACUGGAGUUCGGCAGGGGAGACUGGAAUUCCUGGUGUAGCGGUGAAAAUGCGCAGAUAUCAGGAGGAACACCGGUGGCGAAGGCGGGUCUCUGGGCCGAUACUGACGUGAGGAGCGAAAGCGUGGGGAGCGAAC
rnacentral:rRNA from 1 species